rnacentral:rRNA from 1 species
UACGUAGGGACCAAGCGUUGUUCGGAUUUACUGGGCGUAAAGGGCGCGUAGGCGGCAAUUCAAGUCAUCUGUGAAAUCUCCGGGCUUAACUCGGAACGGUCAGAUGAUACUGCUUUGCUCGAGUGCGGAAGGGGCAAUCGGAAUUCACGGUGUAGCAGUGAAAUGCGUAGAUAUCGUGAGGAAUACCAGAGGCGAAGGCGGCUACCUGGACAAUUGCUGACGCUCAGGCACGAAAGCGUGGGGAGCAAAAGGG